AUGAACGCUAGCGGCAGGCCUAACACCUGCCAGUCGAGGGAGAAGCCCUUUCGGGGGCAGACCCCGGCGCACGGGUGCGUAACGCGUAUGCAACCUACCUUUCACAGGGGGAUAGCCCGAAGAAAUUUGGAUUAAUACCCCAUAAUAUUAUUGGAUGGCAUCAUUUGAUAAUUAAAACUGCGGUGGUGAAAGAUGGGCAUGCGUCCUAUUAGCUAGUUGGAGUGGUAACGGCACCCCAAGGCUACGAUAGGUAGGGGUCCUGAGAGGGAGAUCCCCCACACUGGUACUGAGACAGGGACCAGACUCCUACGGGAGGCAGCAGUGAGGAAUAUUGGUCAAUGGUCGGAAGACUGAACCAGCCAUGCCGCGUGCAGGAAGAAUGCCUUAUGGGUUGUAAACUGCUUUUAUAUGGGAAGAAUAAGGCGUACGUGUACGUUGAUGACGGUACCAUAUGAAUAAGCAUCGGCUAACUCCGUG
rnacentral:rRNA from 1 species